CUCUAGGGGGUGUCACAGCCAGAUCCACCUGCUUUUCACCCUACCCUCAGUGGGGUCAUGAUGGAGCAGGAUUGUCGUUGCUGUUUUUUUCCUCCUUAAUCCUCAUCCAGAAAAAGAAGACAGAGCUCAGAGUCUGGCUCCCAACACUCUUAGCUUAUGAGCCACAUCACAAAGAAAAACACAUCCUCUUGACUAUAAUGUGAAAUGCUGAAUAUUAAUUGCUGGUAUUAUGCUUAUCUUUCUAGCCGGGUUCUGUCUUUUAACAAUUAUUCGGAUGGGCUACAGCCUUGCACUUCCAGGAGAUUUUUCUCCUUUGUUUAAUAGUUAGAAACCAAUUUUAUUAAAAAACUAUAAAGUU